ACUCAAAGGAAUUGACGGGGGCCCGCACAAGCGGUGGAGCAUGUGGAUUAAUUCGACGCAACGCGAAGAACCUUACCAAGGCUUGACAUGGAGACGACCGGUGCAGAAAUGCACUUUCCCUUCGGGGCGUCUCACACAGGUGGUGCAUGGUUGUCGUCAGCUCGUGUCGUGAGAUGUUGGGUUAAGUCCCGCAACGAGCGCAACCCUUAUGUUUAGUAGCCAGCGAGUAAAGUCGGGCACACUAGAGAGACUGCCGUGGAGAACACGGAGGAAGGUGGGGACGACGUCAAAUCAUCAUGCCCCUUAUGUCUUGGGCUUCACACGUGCUACAAUGGGUGAAACAAAGUGAAGCAAGACUGCGAAGUGGAGCAAAUCACAAAAAACAUCCUCAGUUCGGAUUGUACUCUGCAACUCGAGUGCAUGAAGUUGGAAUCGCUAGUAAUCGCGAAUCAGCAUGUCGCGGUGAAUACGUUCCCGGGCCUUGUACACACCGCCCGU
rnacentral:rRNA from 1 species